GAUGAACGCUAGCGGCAGGCUUAAUACAUGCAAGUCGAGGAACAGCACAGGUAGCAAUACUGGGUGGUAACCGGCAAACGGGUGCGGAACACGUACACAACCUUCCUUUAAGUGGGGGAUAGCCCAGAGAAAUUUGGAUUAAUACCCCGUAAUAUAGUUGAAUGGCAUCAUUUGAUUAUUAUAGCUACGGCGCUUAAUGAUGGGUGUGCGGCUGAUUAGAUAGUUGGCGGGGUAACGGCCCACCAAGUCUACGAUCAGUAGCUGAUGUGAGAGCAUGAUCAGCCACACGGGCACUGAGACACGGGCCCGACUCCUACGGGAGGCAGCAGUAAGGAAUACUGGUCAAUGGACGCAAGUCUGAACCAGCCAUGCCGCGUGAAGGAUUAAGGUCCUCUGGAUUGUAAACUUCUUUUAUUUGGGACGAAAAAGGGCCUUUCUAGGUCAACUGACGGUACCAGAUGAAUAAGCACCGGCUAACUCCGUGCCAGCCGCCGCAGUAAAAC
rnacentral:rRNA from 1 species